rnacentral:lncRNA from 1 species
CACGUAUUCUGUCUCUUUCUAACUCCUUUGUCUCCUCUGGACUCCGGGUUCCUGCCGGGUGGUGUAGGGCUGGUUUCCCCAACAUCUGGUGCCGAAUGCAGGGCUCCCCGUAAUCUCUACAAAUAAUCUGGUGAAGGAACGCCAGAGCGUGGAAAGUGGAGGAGGACUGAGGAAGGAAGCCUGAGUACGUUUUCACUUCAAGCUCUACGGGAAUCCGGCUGCAGAACAAGUGAUGAACCACUUGCACCACCUGAGCUUUGCCUCCUGUCAGAUCAGCGAAGGCAUUGGAUUCCCACAGGAGUAAGAGCCCUACUGUGAACUGCGCAUGCGAAGAUCUAGGUGGUGCUUUCCUUGGAAGAAUUUAAUUCCUGAGUGUGACCUGAGGUGUUUCAUCCAGAAUCCAUUCUCCUUGUUCCCCACUGGGCUGCCUUGUGCCCCUCGCAGCCCUGCUGCCCCACCACAGCCCCUGUCACAGUGCUCUGACCUGAAGCCCCUCCCUACCCUGUGUUCCUCCUGGAACGGCCACCCCCCACCUCCCCAAGGUGUCCACCUGGUCACCUUCUCCCACUACCCACCUCUUCUAUGUGGAAAAAUGCCUUCCACUAAACCGGUCCUUGGUGCCAAAAUGGCAAUAGAUUAAAGAAGCUCAUUAUAUUACUCAGUCUGGUCUCCAACUCGUGACUUCAAGCCAUCCUCACACCUCCUCUUGCCGAAAUGAUAAGAUUACAAGAGUAAGUCAGUGUGCCCAGUUAAUAGAAUAACUUAAACACAUUUAUUUUGUCUCUGUUUUAAGCUAUCUGUCACCAUUUUUCUUGAUUACACCUACUUACUAGAUUUAAAUUAUUUACUUUGCCAGAGAUACAUGAUACAUGUUUCAAAUAUUGUCAUACAAGGAAGGAGACAAUUGAAAGCUUUAAGGAGACAAAUUUAAACUGAGAUUAUUUAUGGCUCCAGACUUCCUCAUACACUAAAAUAAUGCAAUUUAUGUCAUAAUUUCAUAAUUCCCUUAAAGCAAAUCACA